rnacentral:rRNA from 1 species
UACGGAGGGUGCAAACGUUGCUCGGAAUCAUUGGGCGUAAAGCGCACGUAGGCGGACCGCUAAGUCGGAUGUGAAAGCCCUCGGCUUAACCGAGGAAGUGCACUCGAAACUGACGGUCUUGAGUAUGGAAGAGGGUCGCGGAAUUCCCGGUGUAGAGGUGAAAUUCGUAGAUAUCGGGAGGAACACCAGUGGCGAAGGCGGCCGCCUGGACAAAAACUGACACUGAGACACGAAAGCGUGGGGAGCAAACAGG